UGAGGAAUAUUGGUCAAUGGGCGCAAGCCUGAACCAGCCAAGUAGCGUGCAGGAAGACGGCCCUAUGGGUUGUAAACUGCUUUUAUACGAGAAUAAUUUGAUGCACGUGUGCGUUAUUGCAUGUAUCGUAUGAAUAAGGACCGGCUAAUUCCGUGCCAGCAGCCGCGGUAAUACGGAAGGUCCAGGCGUUAUCCGGAUUUAUUGGGUUUAAAGGGAGUGUAGGCGGUUUGUUAAGCGUGUUGUGAAAUUUAGAUGCUCAACAUUUAACUUGCAGCGCGAACUGUCAGACUUGAGUACACGCAACGUAUGCGGAAUUCAUGGUGUAGCGGUGAAAUGCUUAGAUAUCAUGAAGAACUCCGAUUGCGAAGGCAGCAUACGGGAGUGUAACUGACGCUUAAGCUCGAAGGUGCGGGUAUCGAACAGGAUUAGAUACCCUGGUAGUCCGCACAGUAAACGAUGGAUGCCCGCUGUUAGCGCCUGGCGUUAGCGGCUAAGCGAAAGCAUUAAGCAUCCCACCUGGGGAGUACGCCGGCAACGGUG
rnacentral:rRNA from 1 species